GAGUUUCAUCUAGUAGAUAUGUGUGUGUGUGUGUGUGUGUGUAUAUAUAUAUAUACACACACACACACACACACAUAUAUAUAUAUAUACACAUA
rnacentral:miRNA from 1 species